GUGCUGGCUUCGGCAGCACAUAUACUAAAAUGGAACAAUAUAAAGAGAGGAUGAGCAUAGCCCUUAUGCAAAGAUGACAUGCAGAGUCACGAGGCAUUCUAUAGUUAA
ensembl:snRNA U6 U6 spliceosomal RNA